rnacentral:rRNA from 1 species
CUUAAAGGAAUUGACGGGGACCCGCACAAGCGGUGGAUGAUGUGGUUUAAUUCGAUGCAACGCGAAAAACCUUACCUACCCUUGACAUGCCAGGAACUUGCCAGAGAUGGCUUGGUGCUCGAAAGAGAGCCUGGACACAGGUGCUGCAUGGCUGUCGUCAGCUCGUGUCGUGAGAUGUUGGGUUAAGUCCCGCAACGAGCGCAACCCUUGUCAUUAGUUGCUACGAAAGGGCGCUCUAAUGAGACUGCCGGUGACAAACCGGAGGAAGGUGGGGAUGACGUCAAGUCCUCAUGGCCCUUAUGGGUAGGGCUACACACGUCAUACAAUGGCCGGUACAGAGGGUUGCCAACCCGCGAGGGGGAGCCAAUCCCAGAAAACCGGUCGUAGUCCGGAUCGUAGUCUGCAACUCGACUGCGUGAAGUCGGAAUCGCUAGUAAUCGCGGAUCAGCUUGCCGCGGUGAAUACGUUCCCGGGUCUUGUACACACCGCCCGUCACACCAUGGGAGCGG